rnacentral:rRNA from 1 species
CCUACGGGUGGCUGCAGUGGGGAAUAUUGCACAAUGGGCGCAAGCCUGAUGCAGCCAUGCCGCGUGUGUGAAGAAGGCCUUCGGGUUGUAAAGCACUUUCAGCGGGGAGGAAGGCGGUGAGGUUAAUAACCUCAUCGAUCGACGUUACCCGCAGAAGAAGCACCGGCUAACUCCGUGCCAGCAGCCGCGGUAAUACGAAGGGUGCAAGCGUUAAUCGGAAUUACUGGGCGUAAAGCGCACGCAGGCGGUCUGUCAAGUCGGAUGUGAAAUCCCCGGGCUCAACCUGGGAACUGCAUUCGAAACUGGCAGGCUAGAGUCUUGUAGAGGGGGGUAGAAUUCCAGGUGUAGCGGUGAAAUGCGUAGAGAUCUGGAGGAAUACCGGUGGCGAAGGCGGCCCCCUGGACAAAGACUGACGCUCAGGUGCGAAAGCGUGGGGAGCAAACAGGAUUAGAUACCCGUGUAGUC